rnacentral:rRNA from 1 species
GUUUGAUCAUGGCUCAGGAUGAACGCUGGCGGCGUGCCUAAUACAUGCAAGUCGAACGGUCAAUCGCAAGAUUGAUAGUGGCGAACGGGUGAGUAACGCGUUGGUGACCUACCCCGAAGAUUGGGAUACCGGCCCGAAAGGGCUGAUAAUACCGAAUGAAGCUCUGGCAGGUUAGAGGGCUGGAGAAAAAGGAGCAAUCCGCUUUGGGAGGGACCUGCGUCCCAUCAGCUAGUUGGUAGGGUAGAAGCCUACCAAGGCGAUGACGGGUAGGGGGCCUGAGAGGGUGGCCCCCCACAAUGGAACUGAAAUACGGUCCAUACACCUACGGGUGGCAGCAGUAGGGGAUAUUGCACAAUGGGCGAAAGCCUGAUGCAGCAACGCCGCGUGGGCGAUGAAGGCCUUCGGGUCGUAAAGCCCUUUUCGAGGGGAUGAGGAAGGACAGUACCCUCGGAAUAAGCCUCGGCUAACUACGUGCCAGCAGCCGCGGUAAAACGUAGGAGGCGAGCGUUAUCCGGAUUUACUGGGCGUAAAGCGCGUGCAGGCGGUUUGGAAAGUUGGAUGUGAAAGCUCCCGGCUCAACUGGGAGAGGUCGUUCAAAACUACCGGACUAGAGUACAGUAGAGGGAAGUGGAAUUCCGGGUGUAGUGGUGAAAUGCGUAGAUAUCCGGAGGAACACCAGUGGCGAAAGCGGCUUCCUGGACUGUAACUGACGCUCAGACGCGAAAGCUAGGGUAGCAAACGGGAUUAGAGACCCCGGUAGUCCUAGCUGUAAACGAUGUAGACUUGGCGUAGGUGGGUUCAAAUCCAUCUGUGCCGAAGCAAACGCGAUAAGUCUACCGCCUGGGGACUACGGCCGCAAGGUUAAAACUCAAAUGAAUUG